GAUGAACGCUGGCGGCGUGCCUAAUACAUGCAAGUCGAGCGAACAGACGAGGAGCUUGCUCCUCUGACGUUAGCGGCGGACGGGUGAGUAACACGUGGAUAACCUACCUAUAAGACUGGGAUAACUUCGGGAAACCGGAGCUAAUACCGGAUAAUAUAUUGAACCGCAUGGUUCAAUAGUGAAAGACGGUUUUGCUGUCACUUAUAGAUGGAUCCGCGCCGCAUUAGCUAGUUGGUAAGGUAACGGCUUACCAAGGCAACGAUGCGUAGCCGACCUGAGAGGGGGAUCGGCCACACUGGAACUUAGACACGGUCCAGACUCCUACGGGAGGCAGCAGUAGGGAAUCUUCCGCAAUGGGCGAAAGCUUGACGGAGCAACGCCGCGUGAGUGAUGAAGGUCUUCGGAUCGUAAAACUCUGUUAUUAGGGAAGAACAAAUGUGUAAGUAACUAUGCACGUCUUGACGGUACCUAAUCAGAAAGCCACGGCUAACUACGUG
rnacentral:rRNA from 1 species